AACAGGAUUAGAUACCCUGGUAGUCCACGCCGUAAACGAUGUCGACUUGGAGGUUGUGCCCUUGAGGCGUGGCUUCCGGAGCUAACGCGUUAAGUCGACCGCCUGGGGAGUACGGCCGCAAGGUUAAAACUCAAAUGAAUUGACGGGGGCCCGCACAAGCGGUGGAGCAUGUGGUUUAAUUCGAUGCAACGCGAAGAACCUUACCUACUCUUGACAUCCAGAGAAUUUGCUAGAGAUAGCUUAGUGCCUUCGGGAACUCUGAGACAGGUGCUGCAUGGCUGUCGUCAGCUCGUGUUGUGAAAUGUUGGGUUAAGUCCCGCAACGAGCGCAACCCUUAUCCUUUGUUGCCAGCGAGUAAUGUCGGGAACUCAAAGGAGACUGCCGGUGAUAAACCGGAGGAAGGUGGGGAUGACGUCAAGUCAUCAUGGCCCUUACGAGUAGGGCUACACACGUGCUACAAUGGCAUAUACAAAGAGAAGCGAACUCGCGAGAGCAAGCGGACCUCAUAAAGUAUGUCGUAGUCCGGAUUGGAGUCUGCAACUCGACUCCAUGAAGUCGGAAUCGCUAGUAAUCGUAGAUCAGAAUGCUACGGUGAAUACGUUCCCGGGCCUUGUACACACCGCCCGUCACACCAUGGGAGUGGGUUGCAAAAGAAGUAGGUAGCUUAACCUUCGGGAGGGCGCUUACCGCUUUGUGAUUCAUGACUGGGGUGAAGUCGUAACAAGGUAACC
rnacentral:rRNA from 1 species